CCCUUAGAUGUUCUGGGCUGCACGCGCGCUACACUGAUGCGCUCAACGAGUUUUAACCUUGCCUGGAAAGGUUGGGUAAUCUUUUUAAAACGCAUCGUGAUGGGGAUAGAUUAUUGCAAUUAUUAAUCUUCAACGAGGAAUUCCUAGUAAGCGCGAGUCAUCAGCUCGUGCUGAUUACGUCCCUGCCCUUUGUACACACCGCCCGUCGCUCCUACCGAUUGAUUAACUCGGUGAGGACUUGGGGGGUGGCCUGGUUGCCUUUCUUUGGCGGCCGGCGCUGCCGAACUUGUUCAAAUCGCGUUAAUUAGAGGAAGGUGAAGUCGUAACA
rnacentral:rRNA from 1 species